rnacentral:lncRNA from 1 species
CCACACAUGUUCCCCAGGUCUCUGAAGAUACACAUUAGAAAAGUGUGGCAAUUCUUUUGGCGUAUAAACUAUUUCUUGCUGGGUCAUGGUGGAUCCCUGUCCUACUGGAACUUGCUGAGCUUUGGCAAUAAUCAUGAGUCUAGUGGCAACAAGGGGUGGUUGUGGUAGAUUUAGAGAAUGAGUAACUCCUUUUAAGGCAUCUGUCCCCAGAUGAGCUUAACACAGAUAUUUAAGCAGAGGAAGGCUAGUCUUCUACCAAGAGCAAGCUACUUCCACAGGAGAGGGAAGCUCAAAACUAUACAUUCAACUAUUGUUGUAAGUCAGCAACCCACACCCUUAAAUUUUAUGUUUAAUUUUUUAGCAAUAUCAGCCCUCUGGCUGUGAGCAAUAAAAGAUUCUUUUAGGGCUAUCCUCAAAGCUCUGUCGUCCUCUAACAAUGACUUGAGCUCAGAGUUAAAGGAUUUGGGUUUGUCAUUUUUCUGUUACUACUCAAGUAUGCUCAGAAAAAUCUGUCCCACAGUACAUUCCUUACAGGCAUCAUGUACUGCCGUAACAGUUAGUUGCAACUGCCAUUUGGGCUCCUAAGACACUUGCUUUGGUUACAACUUCAUUACAAUUAGCCACAAGUGCUAGCUUGAUGUGUGAUGUCCCUGCAUGCCACAGGUCACUAGCUUCCCAUUUCCCAUUGCUAAGGAGUUCAGCACUGUGCUGAACUCCAAGGACAGGGUCAGCCCUCAAAUCCCACCUCCGCAGGUCUAUCUCCUAGGACUACUCCCAGCACCAUUUUGUGGCAGUUGGAUUCUGUACUAGUCCAGAAUCGGAGUGUAAUUUGAACAGGGAAAGUUUAAUAAAUAGUAUUAACUAGAGGAGGGGAAUAACUAAAAGGGGUAAGCAGAAUGCUAAAGAGUACUCUAGAGCUGAGAAAAAUACUUGAGGAAGAAGCAAACUUGGAAGGGAUUCCUCUGGUCAAGCUGGAAUUCAAGCUCUGCUGGAGAAGGUGUGGCUGCAGUCCACUGGAGGGUGGACAAGUUUGCUGGGUUGAUCCAGGCCAGAGCCAGUCUAAGUCACUGGACAGGCAGCCAGGAGCAGAAGCAAGAAGCAAAUGGAAACACGCCCGACCAGGAAGAAGCCCUUUCCUCCUGCAGGGUCCCUCCAGCGCCCUCUACUGAAAAAGUCUGACAUCCCACUCACUGCAAAGGAGAAAAGUCUACAGGAUUCAACUCCACUAUUGCAGAGUAGAUAAUGAAGGACGGAUUUAGAGCUGAGAGGCAAUAAAUUAAUAACAAGCACACUGGUUCUUCAGCUUUCCCAGCAUUUCUGUGAGUUUUCUAAUGUCCUCCAGAGAAAAUGUGUGCCUAAACUGACCGGUUUACAACUGAGAACACUGGCAAAUUUGCAGUUUCCCACUUUUUUUUUUUUUUUUGACAGUAGUUAUGCAUUAUGGUACCUUCAAGUUCUCAUUUUGGGAGGGAUAAACGAAUUUUCCCUGGAAUUUUACUAUUAUGAUAAGUAUAAAUUAAAAUUAUCUCCAUUUAACGUGGCAUGGUAAUGGGCUAUGGAAGCAAGAGCAGAAAUCUAGCUUUCCUGUUGUUCCUUGUAUCUGCCUGGUUCAUCCCUGUUUCAAGGCUGAUACACUUGCUUUUCCUUCUUCCUGGAACUCUCUUCCGUCAGGUAUUCACAUAGCUCCAUCACAUCAAUUAAACCUCUGUUCAACUGUCACUUGGAAAUCCUUCCUUAGUACUCUAUCAAAAAUAGCCUCCUUUCCCCAUAACUCUCUUUCACCAGGCUUUAGUUUUCUUUAUAACAACUUACCACUACAUUAUAUUAUUUAAAGUAGCCUAUGCACUUAUUUACCUACAGAGUUACUCACUUAUUAAAAUGCAAGUUCUAGGAGGGUAGGGAUAUGUCUUGUUCACUGAGGUAUCCUCAGAACCUAGAAUAGUGUAUGGCAUAUAAUAGGUACUUGAUAAAUAUUGAUUAAGUGAAGGGCUGUAGGUUUCAGAAAAGAGUUGGUUUUUCCAGAACACAACUCCAUAUGCAGGCAUAUCUACAGCAAUGAAAAUUUAGCCCCUAACUUAAUUAGGAUGGCAACAAUAUAAUUCUGAUUAUUCUCACCCUAACUUGGUAAAAAUGACUUUUGUUCACUUUUUAAAAAUUGUGGUAUAGUUAGCAUACAGUAAAAUUCACCUUUUGUGUGUGGGUACAAUCCUAAGAGUUUUGGCAAAUGCCUAUAACUAUGUCAAACCAUUGCAAUCAAGAUAUAGAACAGUUCCAUCAUCCUCCGAAAUCUCCUCCUUCCCUUUUGUAGUCAGAUACUCCUCUGACCUCCAGUCCCUGGCAGCCACUGGUCUGUUUUCUGUACUUACAGUUUUGCUUUUUUCAGAUUAUCACACAAAUGGAAUCAUGUAGUAUAUAGUUUUUUGGGUUUGCCUUCCUUCACCUAGCAUAAUGCAUUUGAGAUUCAUGCAUUUUGCUACAUAUAUCAGUUGUCUGUUCCUCUUUAUUGUCGUAUAGUAUUUCAUUAUAUAUGUACCGUAGUUUGUUUAUUCUUU